AAGAUAAAAGCUAUUCAGAACUUGACAGUAUUAGUUCAGAUGUUCUGAAAAUUUCAAAAUCUGAGGCUUCAACUUCUGGAACCAGAGGAAUUCUAGUUCAUGAGAAAAGUCAACCUAAAAGCUCAGUAGUUUUUAAAAGAAAGUCAAACCUCAAACCUCAGAGGCAACAUAGGACUAAGGUUAUUUAUGAUUCUAGAGUCAGUAAAUAUAACCAGUCAAAUCAAUGGACUAGUGAUAAAUACAAACUCUGGAAGCAUAAACAAUCCAAGUCCUGGAAUAAUAACAGAACUCAAACUAAGAACCUUUUUCAAAAGAGUUAUUAUUCCAAACCAAAAUCUUUCUCUCACACUCAACAACACAGUAAACAUUUGUGGACUAACAAGCGUGGACCCAGAAGAUGGGUACCAAAAGCUGAAAUCAUGUAUCAUUCAGAUUU
rnacentral:lncRNA from 1 species